GACGAACGCUGGCGGCGUGCUUAACACAUGCAAGUCGAACGGAAAGGCCCUGCUUUUGUGGGGUGCUCGAGUGGCGAACGGGUGAGUAACACGUGAGUAACCUGCCCUUGACUUUGGGAUAACUUCAGGAAACUGGGGCUAAUACCGGAUAGGAGCUCCUGCUGCAUGGUGGGGGUUGGAAAGUUUCGGCGGUUGGGGAUGGACUCGCGGCUUAUCAGCUUGUUGGUGGGGUAGUGGCUUACCAAGGCUUUGACGGGUAGCCGGCCUGAGAGGGUGACCGGCCACAUUGGGACUGAGAUACGGCCCAGACUCCUACGGGAGGCAGCAGUGGGGAAUAUUGCACAAUGGGCGGAAGCCCGAUGCAGCAACGCCGCGUGCGGGAUGACGGCCUUCGGGUUGUAAACCGCUUUCGCCUGUGACGAAGCGUGAGUGACGGUAAUGGGUAAAGAAGCACCGGCUAACCACGUGCCAGCAGCCGCGGUGAUACGUAGGGUGCGAGCGUUGUCCGGAUUUAUUGGGCGUAAAGGGCUCGUAGGUGGUUGAUCGCGUCGGAAGUGUAAUCUUGGGGCUUAACCCUGAGCGUGCUUUCGAUACGGGUUGACUUGAGGAAGGUAGGGGAGAAUGGAAUUCCUGGUGGAGCGGUGGAAUGCGCAGAUAUCAGGAGGAACACCAGUGGCGAAGGCGGUUCUCUGGGCCUUUCCUGACGCUGAGGAGCGAAAGCGUGGGGAGCGAACAGGCUUAGAUACCCUGGUAGUCCACGCUGUAAACGGUGGGUACUAGGUGUGGGGUCCAUUCCACGGGUUCCGUGCCGUAGCUAACGCUUUAAGUACCCCGCCUGGGGAGUACGGCCGCAAGGCUAAAACUCAAAGGAAUUGACGGGGCCCCGCACAAGCGGCGGAGCAUGCGGAUUAAUUCGAUGCAACGCGUAGAACCUUACCUGGGUUUGACAUGGAUCGGGAGUGCUCAGAGAUGGGUGUGCCUCUUUUGGGGUCGGUUCACAGGUGGUGCAUGGCUGUCGUCAGCUCGUGUCGUGAGAUGUUGGGUUAAGUCCCGCAACGAGCGCAACCCUUGUUCACUGUUGCCAGCACGUUAUGGUGGGGACUCAGUGGAGACCGCCGGGGUCAACUCGGAGGAAGGUGGGGAUGACGUCAAGUCAUCAUGCCCCUUAUGUCCAGGGCUUCACGCAUGCUACAAUGGCUGGUACAGAGAGUGGCGAGCCUGUGAGGGUGAGCGAAUCUCGGAAAGCCGGUCUCAGUUCGGAUUGGGGUCUGCAACUCGACCUCAUGAAGUCGGAGUCGCUAGUAAUCGCAGAUCAGCAACGCUGCGGUGAAUACGUUCCCGGGGCU
rnacentral:rRNA from 1 species